ensembl:piRNA 21ur-9754 ncRNA
UUUGCUGGAUAAAAUAAAAAA